rnacentral:rRNA from 1 species
CCCAGACUCCUACGGGAGGCAGCAGUGGGGAAUAUUGCACAAUGGGGGAAACCCUGAUGCAGCGACGCCGCGUGAGCGAAGAAGUAUUUCGGUAUGUAAAGCUCUAUCAGCAGGGAAGAAAAAAAUGACGGUACCUGAGUAAGAAGCACCGGCUAAAUACGUGCCAGCAGCCGCGGUAAUACGUAUGGUGCAAGCGUUAUCCGGAUUUACUGGGUGUAAAGGGAGCGUAGGCGGCGCGUUAAGUCUGAUGUGAAAACCCGGGGCUCAACCACGGGAGUGCAUUGGAAACUGGCGGGCUGGAGUGGGCGAGAAGUGCGCGGAAUGCGUGGUGUAGCGGUGAAAUGCAUAGAUAUCACGCAGAACUCCGAUUGCGAAGGCAGCGCACCGGCGCCCUACUGACGCUCAGGCACGAAAGCGUGGGUAUCGAACAGGAUUAGAUACCCCGGUAC